rnacentral:rRNA from 1 species
UACGUAGGUGGCAAGCGUUGUCCGGAUUUACUGGGCGUAAAGAGCGCGCAGGCGGUCUAUUUAGUCGCGUGUGAAAGCCCCCGGCUCAACUGGGGAGGGUCACGCGAUACUGAUCGACUCGAAGGCAGGAGAGGGUAGUGGAAUUCCCGGUGUAGUGGUGAAAUGCGUAGAUAUCGGGAGGAACACCAGUGGCGAAGGCGACUACCUGGCCUGUUCUUGACGCUGAGGCGCGAAAGCUAGGGGAGCAAACGGG